AGAACAUAUUUGAAUUUAGUACACUGAAGUUACUUGUUUAACACUCUAUCCACUUUGACAUUUUACAUAAAUAGGCAAUGAAGGAACAUCUACAUGAUUGCUUGGUCCAUGAGAAAUAGCUGCUAAAUCUUCCUCAGCAAGCACAUUUUCCUCAAUCAAGGGCAAAAGUCAGAGGUUUGAGGACAAUCAGAUACCACCAUAGUUCCAACUGUAAAUGAUGUUAACUAGUGCUCCACUGGCGUCCACAUUGAUGACCCAGUGGGGACCCUGUGUGGGAAACUAUAGUCAUU
rnacentral:ncRNA from 1 species